GUGUCUAGUGUGAGGUGAGCUGGUGGAGUCUGAGGGAGAGGCAAGAGGCAGAAAAAUGUGUGGGAGGCUGGGUGAGGCUGUAGACACUGCCAGUCCACUAUGUCAAUCUCACAACGAGUGCUGGAGAAGGGUGGGAGUCUGAUGGAGCUUCCUAACAACGCAGUGCUCCAAGAAUCUACUAUUUUCUCUAGUGGACCAAGACAUUUAAAAAAAAAUGAACUCUUCAUUCUCAUCAAAAUAUGUAUAUUUGUGAAUUUCAACGUGUUGUUCAGAACCUGUGCAUGCCAAUAACUGUGUUUCUCAGUGCACUCUUGGCCUGAUGAAGCCCUCACAGACCCUCUCCCUCACCUGUUCCAUCUCUGCAUUCUCCACCACAACCAGUGCUUCCUGCUGGAGCUGGAUCCAUCAGUGCCCCAGGGAAGGGACUGGAGCGAAUCAGCUGAGCUACCUGAGCAAAGAGUACACAAGCAAGAAUUUUUAUGCCAAAGUCACAGCGAGGGAAAGACAUUGUGAGCCCAGACAAACCUCCCUGCAGGGGAAACUCAGGAGCAGCAGGAGACGCUCAGGACACCAGGGAGCGCUCAGGACACCAGGGGGCGCUCAGGACACCAGGGAGCGCUCAGGACACCAGGGGGCGCUCAGGACACCAGGAGGCGCUCAGGACACCAGGGGGCGCUCAGGACACAUCAAGGCAGGUGCAAUGGGGGGACAAGGUGCUGGAGAUGGGGUUUGGCAUCACCAUCAUAUUUCACCACUGGUCACCCAAUUUAUUCUCAUGUAUGUGAUUAUUUGUGUUAUUAGAAAGUGGAAUUUAUAUGAACAUAUAACCAUAUGUAGGUGCAUCGAGACGUCCUCUCCAUCUUAUGUGGACCUUUUCCUUGAAGACGCUGAGUCCCUGUAUUUAUUUGAGCACCUCACAAAUUAUGGUCAAUUAUGUAGGAUCUGUUUCACUUCUUUCUCACUUCUUCCCUCGUUUUCUCUCACUCACAAGCUCUCACACACACAAAAUUCUACAACUUCAAUUACCCGAUGUAUUGAAGACAAUUUAUUAUAGUGCAGCUUUUCUGGUUUAGCUGAUGUUCAUAUUGCUGUAAGAAUAGGAACGUUGUGUUUCUCAGCUGUGUAUUUCUCUAAGAUAGCAGCAACUUUAAAAAAAAUACCCAGGUACUGAAAACAAUCCAAAUAUCAAUCAGCAGCUUAAUCAUAAACAAACUGUGGUAAAUUCAUUCACUGGAAAAACACCCACUGUUACAAUCAGGUACUGCUGGAUAUGCUCAACAGCAAGGGUGAAUUCACAAGUACGUAUGAUGAGUCAAAUAAGACAAAUGAAUACAAGUACAUACAUACAAGUCCUCUUUUAUAAAUUCUAUAAAAUUAAUACUAAUCUAAAGUUACAUAAAGCAAACCAGUAGUAGACUCUGGGCAUGGGGUGAGAAGGGAAGGUGUAGGAACCAGAAAUUACAGGAAAACAAGAGGAAAUUUUGAGGGUAGUUGAGUUUUUCCUGUGUUGAGAAAGGUAAUGGUUAUGUCACUAUUUGUCAAAUUGUACACCUUAUGGGAGGUCUAUUAUUUGCUAAUUUCACCUCAUUAAAAUAUUCCAAAUUUAAACACACAUAAUUUGGUAGGAAAUAAGUUAGAGAUGAAUAAAAUAUAUGAGAAAUAAAAAAAGAAAAUCACAGAACAUUGGCAUAAGGACUUCACUCAUCAAAUUGAAGAAAUUUUAAAUUUCUCAACACAUAAUUAAAGAUUUAAUUAAAUAUAUAUAAGAAAUCAAAGACUCCUGGAUAUAAACAUGAAUAAACCCUAAGCCGACCUAUAUCUUUAGGGAAACACUAGAAUACG
rnacentral:lncRNA from 1 species